CACAAUUAGUAAAUGGAAAAACCAGGAUUUGAACCCAGGCCUCCCACCUCCAGGGCUCCGACCCUGGCUCCAAGUCACUCUAUUAUAUGGCCUCUUUCAUCUUUAAAAUGAGAACGAUACCAACUAUCUCACAGGUCCUGAUGCCUGCAAACUGCCCUGGUGCUUCUUGGGGCUUCCUGAGGCUUGAAUGCUCAUUUGUUAAAUUCUGUUAUUCAACAUCCUUCAAAUAAACAUCUUUUUUCUUCUUAA